rnacentral:rRNA from 1 species
UACGGAGGGUGCAAGCGUUAUUCGGAUUUACUGGGCGUAAAGGGCGCGUAGGCGGUCGUAUAAGUCAGAUGUGAAAGCCCGGGGCUCAACCCCGGAAGUGCAUUUGAUACUGUACGACUUGAGUAUGGGAGAGGGAAGUGGAAUUCCUGGUGUAGAGGUGAAAUUCGUAGAUAUCAGGAGGAACACCGGUGGCGAAGGCGACUUCCUGGACCAAUACUGACGCUGAGGCGCGAAGGCGUGGGGAGCAAACAGG